ACAUUUUGUUAAAGGGCUAAAUAAAGACCACAUAUUUAAAAAAUUGGAUUUUUCUUACCAUUUUUUCAUGGGUCGUGCCUUAACGGGUUAAAGCGUCUGUGUCAAAAUGAC